rnacentral:rRNA from 1 species
UACAGAGGGUGCGAGCGUUGUCCGGAAUCACUGGGCGUAAAGGGCGCGUAGGCGGCUUGAUAAGGUUGCGGUGAAAGCCCGGGGCUCAACCCCGGGUCGGCCGUGGCAACUGUCGAGCUGGAGCACUGUAGAGGCAGGUGGAAUUCCGGGUGUAGCGGUGGAAUGCGUAGAGAUCCGGAGGAACACCGGUGGCGAAGGCGGGUCUCUGGGCCGUAACUGACGCUGAGGAGCGAAAGCAUGGGGAGCGAACAGG